AUUGAACGCUGGCGGCAGGCCUAACACAUGCAAGUCGAGCGGAUGAAGGGAGCUUUCUCCUGGAUUCAGCGGCGGACGGGUGAGUAAUGCCUAGGAAUCUGCCUGGUAGUGGGGGAUAACGUCCGGAAACGGGCGCUAAUACCGCAUACGUCCUGAUGGAGAAAGUGGGGGAUCUUCGGACCUCACGCUAUCAGAUGAGCCUAGGUCGGAUUAGCUAGUUGGUGGGGUAAAGGCCUACCAAGGCGACGAUCCGUAACUGGUCUGAGAGGAUGAUCAGUCACACUGGAACUGAGACACGGUCCAGACUCCUACGGGAGGCAGCAGUGGGGAAUAUUGGACAAUGGGCGAAAGCCUGAUCCAGCCAUGCCGCGUGUGUGAAGAAGGUCUUCGGAUCGUAAAGCACUUUAAGUUGGGAGGAAGGGAAGUAAGUUAAUACCUUGCUGUUUUGACGUUACCAACAGAAUAAGCACCGGCUAACUUCGUG
rnacentral:rRNA from 1 species